rnacentral:rRNA from 1 species
AGUGAACGCUGGCGGUAGGCCUAACACAUGCAAGUCGAACGGCAGCACAGUAAGAGCUUGCUCUUACGGGUGGCGAGUGGCGGACGGGUGAGGAAUACAUCGGACUCUACUUUUUCGUGGGGGAUAACGUAGGGAAACUUACGCUAAUACCGCAUACGACCUACGGGUGAAAGCAGGGGAUCUUCGGACCUUGCGCGAUUGAAUGAGCCGAUGUCGGAUUAGCUAGUUGGCGGGGUAAAGGCCCACCAAGGCGACGAUCCGUAGCUGGUCUGAGAGGAUGAUCGGCCACACUGGAACUGGAACACGGUCCUGACUCCUACGGGAGGCAGCAGUGGGGAAUAUUGGACAAUGGGCGCAAGCCUGAUCCAGCCAUACCGCGUGGGUGAAGAAGGCCUUCGGGUUGUAAAGCCCUUUUGUUGGGAAAGAAAAGCAGCAGGUUAAUACCCCGCUGUUCUGACGGUACCCAAAGAAUAAGCACCGGCUAACUUCGUG